rnacentral:rRNA from 1 species
UCAGGAUGAACGCUGGCGGCGUGCUUAACACAUGCAAGUCGAACGAAGCACUUUAUUUGAUUUCCUUCGGGACUGAUUAUUUUGUGACUGAGUGGCGGACGGGUGAGUAACGCGUGGGUAACCUGCCUUGUACAGGGGGAUAACAGUUGGAAACGGCUGCUAAUACCGCAUAAGCGCACAGUAUCGCAUGAUGCAGUGUGAAAAACUCCGGUGGUAUAAGAUGGACCCGCGUUGGAUUAGCUAGUUGGUGAGGUAACGGCCCACCAAGGCGACGAUCCAUAGCCGACCUGAGAGGGUGACCGGCCACAUUGGGACUGAGACACGGCCCAAACUCCUACGGGAGGCAGCAGUGGGGAAUAUUGCACAAUGGGCGAAAAGCCUGAUGCAGCGACGCCGCGUGAGCGAAGAAGUAUUUCGGUAUGUAAAGCUCUAUCAGCAGGGAAGAUAAUGACGGUACCUGACUAAGAAGCACCGGCUAAAUACGUGCCAGCAGCCGCGGUAAUACGUAUGGUGCAAGCGUUAUCCGGAUUUACUGGGUGUAAAGGGAGCGCAGGCGGUGCGGCAAGUCUGAUGUAAAAGCCCGGGGCUCAACCCCGGUACUGCAUUGGAAACUGUCGUACUAGAGUGUCGGAGGGGUAAGCGGAAUUCCUAGUGUAGCGGUGAAAUGCGUAGAUAUUAGGAGGAACACCAGUGGCGAAGGCGGCUUACUGGACGAUAACUGACGCUGAGGCUCGAAAGCGUGGGGAGCAAACAGGAUUAGAUACCCUGGUAGUCCACGCCGUAAACGAUGAAUAAUGGGUGUGGGAAGCAUGCUUCUCGGUGCCGUCGCAAACGCAGAAAGUAUUCCCCCUGGGGAGUACGUUCGCAAGAAAGAAACUCAAAGGAAUAGACGGGGGCCCGCACAAGCGGGGGAGCAUGUGGUUUAAUUCGAAGCAACGCGAAGAACCUUACCAAGUCUUGACAUCCUUCUGACCGGUACUUAACCGUACCUUCUCUUCGGAGCAGGAGUGACAGGUGGUGCAUGGUUGUCGUCAGCUCGUGUCGUGAGAUGUUGGGUUAAGUCCCGCAACGAGCGCAACCCUUAUCUUUAGUAGCCAGCGGUUCGGCCGGGCACUCUAGAGAGACUGCCAGGGAUAACCUGGAGGAAGGCGGGGAGGACGUCAAAUCAUCAUGCCCCCUAUGACUUGGGCUACACACGUGCUACAAUGGCGUAAACAAAGGGAAGCGAAGCUGUGAAGCCGAGCAAAUCUCAAAAAUAACGUCUCAGUUCGGACUGUAGUCUGCAACCCGCCUACACGAAGCUGGAAUCGCUAGUAAUCGCAGAUCAGAAUGCUGCGG